rnacentral:piRNA from 1 species
UAAGAUACGAGUAACCCCUCUGCCUUCCA